AAUCGUCUCAAUUCCCUUUCCCUUUUUAAAAUUCAUACAAACCCUAAUCUCUCUAUUUCAACAAAAUGGCCACCUAUCCCUCUUCCCUUUCUUCUUUCUCUCUCUAAAGGACAGCCAACCACCACUGCCCAACACCCUUUCUCCGACGAGCCUCCACCGGCUAAAUUAGCCGCAGGUGAACCACCAACGGCACCCCUUUCUUUUUCCAUCUCUCUGUCUGGCGAACCCAUCGCCACCGCCAUCCACAGCGACGAACCGACCAGGACCGGUGAAACGACCAUCAGCCACUACCGUCGCCUUUCCCUCGUCGUCAUCGUCAUCCACCAUAGAUGCUGCCGUCAGGCAGUCCACCGAAAAAACCGAACCAAACGCCAGAUCUUCUCUUCGUCACAUGCAGCAGCCGUCGCUGCCCCCUCUCCGUCGUCAGACGCCACAAUAGCAACAACAAUGGCGACCAACCAAACGGGUCCCUCCAUCUACCAGCUCCUCCAGCCGCCGCCAAUGCUAUAGAUAAAUUAGAUGAUGUAACCUGAUUAUAGCUGGAUAUAUCAACAAAAUAUUGAUAAUAGAAUGGGUGAGGCUGAGAAUGAAGAUGCGGAUGGUGAGUUGUAGUUUUUAGUCUUUUGUAUGUUUUAUAGUUUGGAUUUGGAACCUCUAUAAAUUUUGUAAAUAAUUUGAUUUUUAAUGUUCCGUAUUUUUAUGGUGGUUGGUUGAUUGUAUA